CCUAGAGAAAACUUGGACGAACAGUGCAUUCGACGGGAGGCUUGUUUUACUGGAUUAAGUCCUUCAGAUGACCUGGGGGACAACUGUCAACAACAUGGAGAAAAUCCUGUCCUUUAUAAAUACCUACCUCAAACUGACCUUAAGAAUCCUCUGGCCAAACACCAUCAGUAACCUGGAACUGUGGCAGCAAGUAGAACAGCCUGUUGAAGCAGAGCUUCUCAGACCUGACCUGGAUGAAGACGUGAUGAGGACGUCUGGCUCUUCAUGUGGACAACUGGACAAUAUAACCCAGGACCUGGAUGACUGGUUGCCUUUGAAAAGCCACAUUGCCCAUGCAGAAUUGGGGGUCAUUCUGCUCGGUGAGGAAUGGACGGGAAAAAGCUCAUCUGGAAACACCAUCUUGGGAUGUGAUGAAUUUCCUGUGGACAAAAGCACAAAUCAAGUGACUCGCAAGACCACGGUGCUGGACAGCAGGCCCAUCACAAUGGUUGACACCCCUGGGUGGGACCCCUGUUCAUCUUCAGAUGUCCCCCAUCGUAUCCUAAGCAGAGCCUGUGGAAGUGUGUCACAUGGGGGUCUGGAGGGACCUCAUGUCAUCUUGCUAACCCUGCCUAUCUGCCAUGAUGCUGAGUGGAAUAAGAAGGCGGCCGAGAGACUGCAGCGGUUGUUUAAGAGGGCAAUGUGGCAGCACACCAUCUUGCUCUUCACCAGGGCACACUUGCUUGGCACAACUAGCAUCGAGCAGUAUCUCCAAGGAAAAGGCAAGGUCUUGCAGGUCCUGGUGGAGAAGUGUGAGCACAGGUACCAUGCCCUGCACAAUAUCGGUACCAGAGUGCCUGCAGAAGUGACGGCUAUCCUGGACACGAUGGAGAGGAUGGUGGAGGAAAAUGGUGGUCAGAGCUUUUGUUUGGAACAGGAGUUUGUCGAGGAGGAUUUUUUGGAGCAGCAGUCAAGAGAAGCGAUGGAGAUGGAAUCUGUGACGUGGAGCAGGGAGAAGGAGAUGGAGCUCAUGAGGCUUCUUGAACAGGCCAAGAAAGACCUUUGUGAUCUGAAAGGGAGGAGAGCCAAGAAAAACAACCAAAGAAGGAAAAAGAAGCAAGCCCGUGCACUCAUCAAACCUGCUGGUACACAGGACGCACAGAAAGAGAUACAAAUGGAUGUUGACGGCUGUGAGAAGACGGAGCACAUGAGGCUUCUUGAACAGUCCAAGAAAGAAGUUUAUAAUCUGAAAGGGAGGACGGCCAAGAAAAACAACCAAAGGAGGAAAAAGAAGCAAGCCUGCGCACUCAUCAAACCUGGUGGUACACAGGACACACAAGACCAGAUAAAAACGAAUGUUGAUGGCUGCUUACCUGUAGAAAUUGACAUACUAGCACAUCAACAAUGCAAACAACCAGUGCGUAACACUCAAGCUGAAAGAAGAAAAGGUUGAGCCCACUCUCCAUACCUAUGGGCAAUCAGAGUCCAUUCAUACUAAAGAGGAGAUGAAAGUCUCAGGUGACAAAUUGGCAUCUGCAUUGCCCCUGAAUGAUGAGGAGAAUGAGGAGUCUGAGAUCAUGCAGAGUAUCAUAGUAGUUCCAGGAGGGGGAAAAGAGGAAGAGGAGGAGGAAGAGACCUUGCCACCCGAGAAAGCAGAAUCACAGAAUGACAUUCUAACAGUGCAGACUAGUGUCAAAUGUUGUUUGCCAGACACUGGUGGAGGAGAUGGUCAGCUGAUGCAUGAAUCUGAUCAGAGUGAAGACACUAAUGAAGGGAAGUUAUAUUUGUCUGAAGACGGUUUCAUGCAAGCAAAGGAAGAAGUGCUUAAUGGGCAAAAUGGAUCAGGGAUUGCAAACUCUGUUGAUAAAUUGCAUUGGCAUCCCAACCCCACUACCCUUGAUUAUACAAAAGGAAGAGAUGAUGUCCUUGACCACAAAAAAGAGCAAAGCUCAACAAAAAAUAGUCAGGAAGAACAAGGCAUCCACCAUGUGACUGCCUUAAGUAAUUGCCAAAGGUUCAGUCUUUCGAGUUCCGAGGGCCUGUUUCAAGCGGAUAGUCACUUGAUGGGGUAUACAGACAGCUCCACGUUAGAAGAUGUCAGCCUUCCAUCUGCUGUGAAAUGUACCUCCAGUCAGCUAGGGGUGGAGUUCAGGGAUGCCUCCAAACAGGAGAAGCCCAUAGAUCCCUCACAUGUGACCUCAAGAUGUGACACUUGUGCAGGGAAGAUGCCAGCUGUGCUCAAAGAUAUGGCCCUAAGCAACAGCAUCUUGGUGUCCACGUGCCCAGGAGAAACUAAACAAAAUGGGCCUACUUCCACAGGCAGCAUUGAAGGCAAUGGCAGUGAUCAUGCGAAGCGUCCAUGCAAACUUACUCCUGUCCAUCAAGCUCAAGAAGAUGCACUUGCAGAGUAUCCACCAGUGCUGGUUGUAACCAAACACCUCAUGGAAAUGGAAGAUAGGCCUAAUGUAUACAAACCUGAUGGAAAAUACUCUGUGAAUGGAAGAAGACGUGAUGUCUACAAGAAGUCUGCUGAACGCCGAAGCAGUAGCGCUCAUAGAUUUGUCAAUUUCAAAGGACAAAAAGAGAGGAGCAAUGAUGCACGUCACCUGAGAAGAGCCCAAAGCCUUGAGCGAUUUGAUGUAUUCAAGAGUGGGUAUCAUAUAUGGUCCUGGAGGCUUUUUGGUCAUUAACAAUAAUACUGUAUAUCUGGUACUUCUGCCCCUCUAUGUGCAACAGUUUGAAGACAGUGAUUUUUAAAUGUCAAAUCAAAUGUGAUACUUAUCGUAAACUAUAAUAGGUGAGCAGGUAUAUUUUUUUUAACAUAAGCAAUUGCAAAAUGGACCCUGUCUGGGGAAAUCACCACCGCAGGAAAACCCAGCGAAAUCGGACAAGCAUCUAAGCAGAGCUGCUCAUCGCGAGAACGACCCCAGUCCCAAAGACCUCAGAUAUGCUGUCUGUGGAGGAGUCAAACAACUUGGAGGACGGACAAAUCUCAAAGGGAAAAAUAUUUCCGAUAGGAAAGCAGUCUGCAGGGGAAAGCGGGACUAUGCCUUGCUCACAAGAGGCCGGGCCUGAAGUCUGUGCAGUGCUUAUGGGCAGUCAUGGGUAAGCGACUAGGCUUGUGGCCCAAGGGUGGCCAGUUUGAUUCCUGACACAGUCAGUUGUUUGGGGGAAGCACUGCCAUCCUCCUCCAUGACUGAGGUUCCCUGAGCAUUGUCAAUCCAGCACUGUUUCAAGAUUUCAUACCAUCAUCUCAGGAAAUCACUCAACUCCUCUCCACUCCCAUCUACACUUCAUAACACUGCACCCCUCAUUGGCAUCCCUAUAUCAACGGAGUUGGCCAUACCGGGCCCAUAUCAUCAUAUAGGCCUAUUUCACUACCCACCUAAUGGACAGCGGAAAACAUUUCUAUUUGUAAAACAUGUUUUAAUUUAUCAUUUAGCCAACCAUUGAACUUGUGUAACUCAGUGUUGUAAAGGGAAAGAAACCUUUGGACUAUGAAAGCGGCUUCAACCAUUUCUUAAUGUUGCACAUACUAGCCAAGACAUUUUCUGAAACUGACUGUGACCUGAACACAGAGAAUUGAUCAUUUACUGCUUAGACAUGAAGCCUUUUAUAUAUACACAUUAAAUACUGUCACCUAAAGGGAUGAAUAUGUAUUUUGAUUUAAAUCCUUUUCUGUAAUUUCUCCUAAUUGUUGUUUUUUAAAACCAUGUGAAAGUUACUUAUAUGUUCAUGUAGCCUACUCUAUUCACAUUUGUAAUCUUUUCUCAUUCAUUGAUCCUUGAAACUUUCAAAUGUUUUUGGUUUUGCCUGAUGCAUAAUAGACACAGGCAAAGACCUGUCUGUCUAUUUGACACCUUUUUAAAUAAUAAAGUUUCUUUUUGGAGCUGAUCAGCAGUGUGCAGACCUACCCUUUUCAACAGUCUGAGUUUGUCUGGCACCUGCAACAAGUGUUUUUGGAUGUGCGCACCCUACCCAAAACUACUGAACACAGAGAACAUAUAAUGUAUCUAUCCACCACACCGACUAGCGGAAUAGGAAUGUUGUUUACAUGAAGAUUUGUUUGCGGACAUUGAAUUUUGUUUAGAUUGGACAUUGGAGUACCCACCCAGAGUAGCCAGUCCAUACUUCCUUUGAGGUUGAUUGAAGUAAUUAUGCGAGUUAUGCUGGACUAUGCAUCUGCUUUUUGUUGCAAUUAUACUGCCUUACUUUUGAACACUAUCUGUAGGCCUAGUGUGUGCACACAUUUAAACAAUCACAGAAUGCUACAUCACUCAUCGUGUCACCCCAUGUAUGUGGUGUUCUCCUUGGAGUGACUGCAAGUCUUGAAUUUCAUCUCUUGUUCACAGGCAAUGUACGUCAGCAAACCUUGCAAACACUGGUGUAGAGCCACCAGAAUAAAAAUGUUAUGGAAAAAAUCAAGUGUAUAUUUUACUGCCUCUGCCUUAUAUGAAUUAGCAACACCACGUAUCUAAAUAUAGUUGCGCAUCUCAAAGCUUCAGACAACCAGUUUAACCUUCCAGACUGGAAUCUAUGGGGUACCUUAGUCACGUCCUCUACUUCCUGGUUCAUGGGGCAGAGGGAGUCAAAAAAUAAUUACUGGGCUUGAAAUGAGUGGUUUUUCGACAACAAUCCAAACCUUGGACCUCCACUUAUGCACCACAA